rnacentral:piRNA from 1 species
UGGCAAGCACAAAUUUACCUCAAGUGACCU